ensembl:lncRNA
GUUUCUCCAGUCAUAGGGGCUCAUCUGUGACCUGUCUUGCUUCUUUCUUCCAAACAGUUUUCCUUCCACCAUAGUCUUGUCAGGUUGCAAGACAAAAGCUAAAGCAUAGCUAAGGGAAGACAUGCAACGAUCUGCCAGACUAGAAGCCCACCCUGUCUCCCACAAAACUUACCAUUUGGUCCUUCCAAAUGUCCCUUGAUGCAUACGUUCUGGGGGCAGAAAAGAGCCUGCAUUGCCUCAUCUCAGGCCUGUGCCUGUGUCCAUGGGAUGCUGAAUUGCAGACAGGUGGCUCUGGGAACAUGUGCUGCACAGACAAACACAAGAAAUGUGGAAUGCCUUUAGAGAGGCUGCUUGUUGAGAGACAUCAUUAGCUUCGAGCUGUCUGCUCGUCCCCCGGAGUGGGUGGAACAAGGUGAGAAAAUAUGUGGGGAAAUAAAAAAGCCAAGGGAAGGGAAGGGCUGGUUGUCGAAGGCGAGUAUCUUGGGCUGGGAAAUUGAGACUUGUUUCAGGAGUGUGGCAUAGAAUUUUAAGUAGCACAGUGGAUACAAGCGAAGAAAAGCAAAAGAAAACAGCAACAUGCUAGAGCACCAGGAAGAGCUAGCUGUAACACUGGGCAAUGCUGGUUAAAAAAGGAGACAGAAGCCACUAAAAGCAAGGGACCGUUUACCCAGGCAGAAAACAAAACAGCCAAGGUUUAUGCUUGUUUAUGAUUAUUUUCUUUUUCCAGUACCUAAAUACAACUGUAAAAUGGCAUUAUGAAGUUAUUACCAGGAACAUGGUACUACAUGAGCUGGUUUCUUUCAUGUGAAAGGCUCUUCCUAGAAAUCAAGUGCAUGAGGUUCCAAAUUCCAGCUAUGGUUCAAAGAAUGCAGACCUGGGUCACUGCAAGCCUACAAAGCCAUACGUAGUUCUGAACAUGUGAUCAUCAGACAUUCAUGUGUAAGUCUGAAUGGAGACAGUGAUCUGUUUAGCAGUGUGAUCUUAAAAAGUUUUAUUGAAUCGGGCUCCAUUUUUCCCCCAUAAAAUGUCUACAUUCUUUGCCCCACUGUGACUUCAAGACGGUGAUGUAAAGGUGUAGCAGAAAUGCUAAUUCACAGUUUGAAACAGUGAUUGAGCACCUGGUGGGGAGGCAGGACCAACCCAGGGGAGCUCAGGUGCAUGCAAUGAAAUGCAUCUGAGUGAUUGGAAAGGGUGGAGCCAGGAUCCACCCCUUCCCAGACCUCAUUUAAGGGCUGGCAGUGGAGGUGAGGGUAUCUCACUGGAUAUCCCUGCCUACUGGAAAUCUUCCAAAGCAAGCUAAAUUCUGAAGGAUUUGAACACCCAUAACUUUGUCUGAAGUCAGUGAAAGCUGCGGAUACUGAAGAUUGCUGAGAUGUUAGGAAGAGAACAGUGGGAGAGAGAAGCAAAAUUCUAAAAGGGAAAAGAAAAAAGAAAAAACGCACAACGCUGUAUAUAAAAAGAGAUUAGUUGGUUUAUAAUAUGAAAAUUCCACUGUUGUAAAAGAAUCAGAAGAGAAACAGAAUCCUAUCAGCAAAGAAAAUUGACCAUGAAGACAGGAGCAGACCUCUAUCCUACAAACUUCCCCUCGCUUUUAACGAUGUCCUUUGUCUCUUUCUGCUAAUAUAGGACAAAUCUUGUCUUACAGCUUUCAAGAAAUCUGAAAUUAAUGUAAAAGUCAUGUCUGGGUAAGGAAGUGAGAGAUCAAACCCGGUAGGAUGAUGCAACAGCUGCGCAGCCCAGCAUCUGUUCAGUAACAAAUGUUUUUUUAUUGCACUUUGGUUUUGUUUUUUUUUUUUUAAGCCCUUGUUUGAGGUUCAAGUAUUGUUCACAACAACAGCAAACUACUUCAAUCCUCAAGAAUAACAAAAACGACCCUAAGUAAGGGGGAGAUUGCCAUGUCUGACCAAGUGCUGGAGCUGCUUCCCUGCGCAUCAGCACCGCGGACAGAGGCCCCACCUGCUGCGCUUGCCCUCAUUGCCUUGUGCAAAAAUCGUUGGCCAAUAUCUCUUUUCAAGUGACGGAAGUGGGAUGGUUAAAAACUUAUAACAGCUAAUCUAAGAGAACAAUAAUUCCCAGAGUUAAACCCUCUAACCCAUUUUUUUUUCCCACAUUAUUUUUCCACCUAUGAAGUCGACGUCUCUUAGCUGGAGUGUGAAACGUUAUCUUCUAGUCUAUUGGGACAGCCUGGCAUAUGGAGAGUGACUGUACUGUUAGGAGUGCAGAAAUUGAGCAUUUAUUUUAGUGGCAGGAUCAUGUGAUUUUUCUUUGCCUAUCAGCUAAAUUUACUGUUUCUAAAGCACAGGGAGACAAAUUUAUUGGAAAAUUCAAAGCAAGGGGCAUAAAAAAAAUACUGUGGACCCUGGAAAUCAUUUCAAGAUCAAUCUAUAAAAAAAAGUUGCAUUACUAUGUAAUGAAGAACUGUCAGAAAAGAGUCAGCUGAAGAUGAAAAGCCAUGUACAAAAGAGUAAGCAUCAACAGCCAAGGCUCUGUAUGGAAGUGCAGUCAUAUCUCGCAUUUAAAAAAAAAAAAAAAGAAAAGGUUCUUCAGUAUUCAGAUUUCUCAGCUGGCAUUCUUGGGAUUUCAUCUGUUUCUUACAGAUCAUAUUGUAGAGGAUGAGACUUAAAUUUAGGGCUGAACAUCUCCCGAGCCUCAUCAUCUUCACGAGAAUUUAUUUUAAAGGGCCAUGAAGGUCCAUUCUAUCCCUAAAAAACAUACACUGAUAAAGACAGGACAGAAGGGUGCGGGGAGGUAUUCCUCCCUCCCUAACAUAUACAUCUUCCUGUUACCAGUUUCCUCUGUACUCCUUCCUCUAUGCACUCCCCUGCAGUGAUUGGCAGUCAUGACUACAGGACAUCCAGACUGAGACAUGACUGAGACACAGUGCCUCAGAACUUGGGAGUAGCAAUAUCGAAAACAGUGAAUUGUGGUCAGAUGUCUGAUGCUUAUGGCCAUCCAGAAGUCAGGGGACUGUAGAAGAUGAUUUAAUAAUGAGCUCAGAGAGCUAAUGGUGGUGAAGGAAGGGAGCAAGGAAGUCUGCUGGAAUGCAUGGAAAGGAAGGAAAUGGUCCAGGAUUUGACUCUCAGUGAGAGGUCAGAAAAUAAUAGUGUAUUAAAAGUCAGAGGUGGAGGGGGAGCUGAGGCAGAAGAGAUGAGGGAUGGCUGUGAGGAAGCAGUCACUGCAAAGUGAUGCAUGUUCACCUGAAGGGGUCCUGAAGACUUGGAGAAACUUUUCUGGGCUUCUCUCAGACCCGUCUUCUCUGCAAGUUACUACCAUUUUCACUGUUUAUUCUUCUGACAGCUUUUCUCUCAGCAUAAACAGGCUGUCUUGUCUUG